UACCAGCACCCCGAGUGGUCGGGACGAUUAUUGGGCCUAAAGCAUCCGUAGCCGGUUCUACAAGUCUUCCGUUAAAUCCACCUGCUUAACAGAUGGGCUGCGGAGGAUACUAUGGAGCUAGGAGGCGGGAGAGGCAAGCGGUACUUAGUGGGUAGGGGUAAAAUCCGUCGAUCCAUUGAAGACCACCAGUGGCGAAGGCGGCUUGCCAAUACGCGCUCGACGGUGAGGGAUGAAAGCUGGGGGAGCAAACCGG
rnacentral:rRNA from 1 species